rnacentral:rRNA from 1 species
UACGUAGGGUGCAAGCGUUAAUCGGAAUUACUGGGCGUAAAGCGUGCGCAGGCGGCUUUGCAAGACAGAUGUGAAAUCCCCGGGCUCAACCUGGGAACUGCAUUUGUGACUGCAUGGCUAGAGUGCGGCAGAGGGGGAUGGAAUUCCGCGUGUAGCAGCGAAAUGCGUAGAUAUGCGGAGGAACACCGAUAGCGAAGGCAAUCCCCUGGGCCUGCACUGACGCUCAUGCACGAAAGCGUGGGGAGCAAACAGG